AAGUUAGCUGUUGAACAGAAUUUCUUGUGCUUUUUCAAAGCUUAAAUAUAGUUUUUUGUAACAAAAAAUAUUUUGAAUAAGAAGAAUUUCAUAACAACAAUGGUCCAGUAUUGUGUUGGAAACGGAUGCCAUAAUACAGGGGAUAUAAAUAUAAUAUAAUAUUUUUUCUGUGAAGUGUUGGUAUCACAUAAACCAAUCCAUCCUGAACAGUUUUACAGAAGUUCCCUCUCCGAAAACCUUUUACUUUACAAUUUUGGACCAAAGCUACAG